AGAGGUUAUACCAAUCGAUGAAACAAGCUUUCUGUAUUACCGACUUACCGACGACAUUCCAACGGCCAUUUUGUCAAUAAUAUUGUGAAGUUUGAAAAAAAACUGCUACAGUUUUUAUGAGCGAUUUUACAGGUAAUGACUGUUUGGUGUGAUAAUUUAUAAUUAAAACAAAUCGUAUAAAAAUGAGUAAAGUUGACCAACCUACUUUUGACAAUAAAGAUGAAGAGGUGGAGUAUUGGAAAAACCUUGCAACGCAAUAUUUGGAUAAAAUUGAUCGACUACAGAUAGAGUCGGAUGAAUUCGUCAGCGAAUCCCAGCAAUUGGAACGCGAAUAUGAGGCUACAAUUGAGCAAAAUGAAAAGAAAAUCAAAGAACUAACUUUAGCUAAUAAUAGAACGUUCAAUGAAAUAGAAUCACUUAGAGUAAAAUUAGAUCAAAGCAAUAAACAAAACCAAUCCUACCAAACCGAAAUCGAGAAUCUGACAAAAGAAAAAGCUGAUAUGUCGCGCUACAUCCGUGAACUCGAGCAGAAAAACGAUGACCUUGAGCGAUCACGACGCAUCGUUGAGGAAUCAAUUGCAGGGAUUGAAGCAGCGUUCCAUAACGUCAUCGAACGAAAUGCGAUUCUCGAAUCCGAAAUCGACGAAAAAGAGGGUCUCAAAGAGAAACUCCAGCGAUUGGCUGAUGAAACCAGAGAUCUUAAACAGGAGCUUCUAGUGAAAGAAAAAUCUCUAGAUAACGAACGACCCCUCAACGGAUUCAGAUCGGUGCCUAUCGUUGACUCCAACAGACUUAAAGAAAUCGAGACUCAAACCACCCCAGUUAAAAAAGAUCAGAUAUCCUAUCAAGCAUCUAUAACACCAGCGUCUCGCGUAAUGGCCUUGAAUGUCGUCAGUGAUCUAAUCCGAAAAGUCGGGCUGUCUCGCUUCCUUUGUUCACAAUGUGGCCGAUAUAAAUGUACAGUUUGUCCGCCACCUGCCACCAAUAACACACCGAGGGUUUAGAACGCAGAUUGGAGAAGAGCCGGUACGACUACAGGGAUAUCGGAUCCAAUGAUUUAAGGAGUCGGCAUUCAACCAAAAAUAGUCCAGCACCAAGCAUCCAAGGUUUAUCAAAAUGAGAAAUAAAUAAUUUAUCCGUGUUUUAGGUACGUCUGGCUUAAAAACAAAAACUCAUUAUCCAGUAUUAUUCAACUAUUCUGUUUUUACGUAUGAAAUAUAUUGAGCGAAAAAGUGAUCUUAUCUCAUUACUUGGUGAUAUUAUUUAAGUCAGAAGUUCCUUUAACAUUUUGUAAAUAAUUUUUUGGUGAUAAUUUUUGCUUAGUUGGAUUCCUUUAAUAUCAAUGUAAAUAUUAUUGCGAAUAAGUGUGUGACUGGUUUUCGUCCCCCUUAAAGCUUGUUUACGUCCAUAAGUGACGUAAAUUAAGAUUUUUUUCAACUUCCUGUGUCCCAAAAUCUAUUUUUUCACCUAGUUAGUUAAUAGAUUAAUUUAAAACGGGUUUUGCGUUUUAUUACUUGUUAAUUUAUUCAAUCACUAAUAAUUAGGUACAAAUUUUAUAUUUUUAAUGCAUAUUCCAUUAUUUAAGGUGCAAAUAUUUAUUACUGUAUAACAAGAAACAAAUAAAUCAAUUAAAGUAA